rnacentral:rRNA from 1 species
AGCGAACGCUGGCGGCAGGCUUAACACAUGCAAGUCGAACGCCCCGCAAGGGGAGUGGCAGACGGGUGAGUAACACGUGGGAACGUACCCUUUGGUUCGGAAUAACUUGGGGAAACUCAAGCUAAUACCGGAUAAGCCCUUAUGGGGAAAGGUUUACUGCCGAAGGAUCGGCCCGCGUCUGAUUAGCUAGUUGGUGAGGUAAUGGCUCACCAAGGCGACGAUCAGUAGCUGGUCUGAGAGGAUGAUCAGCCACACUGGGACUGAGACACGGCCCAGACUCCUACGGGAGGCAGCAGUGUGGAAUAUUUGACAAUUGGGGCAACCCUGAUCCAGCCAUGCCGCGUGAGUGAUGAAGGCCUUAGGGUUGUAAAGCUCUUUUACCCGGGACGAUAAUGACUGUACCGGGAGAAUAAGCCCCGGCUAACUUCGUGCCAGCAGCCGCAGUAA